CGGAGGGGGUGCAGAAUGCCAUCUUGUCUGUCAUCAUUCUGUGUUUUUUCUUCACCAGUGCAUGAACUUUGCAUUUGUUGGUUGGCUGGUCGGUCGGUUGGCAGCUCAUUUGGUCUGUCAGUCGGUUGGUCGGUCAGGCGGUCAGCUGGUCGGUCGGCAGAUCGGCUGGUCGGCUGGUCGGUCGGUUGGCAGCUCAUUUGGUCUGUCAGUCGGUUGGUCGGUCAGGCGGUCUGUUGGUCAGUGCGGCAGUCCAGCUGGUCGGCUGGUCGGUUGGUCGAUUGGCAGGUUGGUGGGUUCUGCAGUGAGUCCCUGGCUGGCCUGCAUAUGCAGCACUGCGUGUUAGAAGAGUUUUAAAUUAUUUUAUACCUUUUUAUUUUUUUUGUUUGUUUGUUUUUGUAAUGAUGAUUAUUAAAAUUGUAAAUGUAUGAAGAAACGGAUGUUCCAUGGUGCUGUGCAUCCACGUUCUCCCAAGAUUCCUGUCUGCUCUCCUGGAAAUGCUUUGUUCCCAUGAUGGAGGUCAGUGUGUUAUGAUCCUGUCUCCUGUGUACAGAGUUGUCCUACCAAUAUCCAUGUACAUAAAAUCAACUAAAUAUAUAUAACAAGUAAAGACCACA